rnacentral:lncRNA from 1 species
GCAGGUAUCUGCUCACAAUCCUAGUGAGUAUAUCAUAUCCUAUCUUGUAUAUGGUGUACAUGACAGAAUAAAUUUUAAUCAUAAAUAUUUUAUAUGCAUAGAUUGGGAUAACCUAAGCAGCCUUUUAGAUCUAUCUUUAUAUAUUUUUAUCCCUAGGAUGAGGGAUGCUUUUCCCAAAUCCUUUGUAGAGAACAAUGAUAACAGU